rnacentral:rRNA from 1 species
GUGGGGAAUAUUGGACAAUGGGCGAAAGCCUGAUCCAGCCAUGCCGCGUGUGUGAAGAAGGUCUUCGGAUUGUAAAGCACUUUAAGUUGGGAGGAAGGGCAGUAAGUUAAUACCUUGCUGUUUUGACGUUACCGACAGAAUAAGCACCGGCUAACUUCGUACCAGCAGCCGCGGUAAUACGAAGGGUGCAAGCGUUAAUCGGAAUUACUGGGCGUAAAGCGCGCGUAGGUGGUUUUGUAAGUUGGAGGUGAAAUCCCCGGGCUCAACCUGGGAACUGCCUCCAAAACUGCAUGACUAGAGUACGGUAGAGGGUAGUGGAAUUUCCUGUGUAGCGGUGAAAUGCGUAGAUAUAGGAAGGAACACCAGUGGCGAAGGCGACUACCUGGACUGAUACUGACACUGAGGUGCGAAAGCGUGGGGAGCAAACAGGAUUAGAAACCCGGGUAGUCC